CGCUGGCGGCGUGCUUAACACAUGCAAGUCGAACGGUGACGGAGAGCUUGCUCUCCUGAUCAGUGGCGAACGGGUGAGUAACACGUGGGCAACCUGCCCCAGACUUCGGGAUAACGCUUCGAAAGAGGUGCUAAUACCGAAUACGAACCUCCCUGGCAUCUGGGAGGUUGGAAAGUUUUUCGGUCUGGGAUGGGCCCGCGGCCUAUCAGCUUGUUGGUGAGGUAACGGCUCACCAAGGCGACGACGGGUAGCCGGCCUGAGAGGGCGACCGGCCACACUGGGACUGAGACACGGCCCAGACUCCUACGGGAGGCAGCAGUGGGGAAUAUUGCGCAAUGGGCGAAAGCCUGACGCAGCAACGCCGCGUGAGGGAUGACGGCCUUCGGGUUGUAAACCUCUUUCAGCAGGGAAGAAGCGAAAGUGACGGUACCUGCAGAAGAAGCACCGGCUAACUACGUG
rnacentral:rRNA from 1 species